AAACCAGCUCUGAAAAAUGUUGUCAAAGCCUCCUACAGUCAACCAACCUAGAUCUCGCCCCUACUGGCGUAUAGGACACAGCAGAGCUUCAUCCAGUUCAUGCUGGACUUUACGGAACUUGGACAAGUUUGUGUUCGCUUGUUCCUCCUGAACAUGAUAAAAAAAGUUUGGACUCUGCACUGCGCUUCUGCUCGGCCUCCAGCUCAUUGUCCAGUUCCCGGACUCGAGCCUCCAGCUUCUGCACCUGCUUCUUACCACCUUUCAUGGCAAUCUGCUCAGCCUCAUCCAAACGUUGCUGAAGAUCCUUGAUUGUUUGCUCCAUGUUCUUCUUCAUCCUUUCUAGAAAGGACACCUCUGGACUGGGCUUGUAUUCGGGUAAUGAUUCUGGAGAGUCGCUCAUCUCGCAUUUCUUCCAAUUGUCCUAGCAAACCUGCCUUGAAGAAGACCUGCAAAAGUAAUCAUUUCAUCAGUGUUGUUACAAUCCUACCGUUGCUUAAAGUCUCCAUAGAGGAUACGGUUAGGGAACCCUUUUCUGCAAAUUCGGAUGCCUUCCAGUACACCGUUACAGCGGAGCUGGUGCAUUA